rnacentral:rRNA from 1 species
AGCGAACGCUGGCGGCAGGCCUAACACAUGCAAGUCGAACGAAGCCUUCGGGCUUAGUGGCGGACGGGUGAGUAACACGUGGGAACGUACCUUUUGGUUCGGAACAGCUCAGGGAAACUUGAGCUAAUACCGGAUGAGCCCUUAGGGGGAAAGAUUUAUCGCCGAAAGAGCGGCCCGCGUUAGAUUAGCUAGUUGGUGAGGUAAAGGCUCACCAAGGCAACGAUCUAUAGCUGGUCUGAGAGGAUGAUCAGCCACACUGGGACUGAGACACGGCCCAGACUCCUACGGGAGGCAGCAGUGGGGAAUCUUGCGCAAUGGGCGAAAGCCUGACGCAGCCAUGCCGCGUGAAUGAUGAAGGUCUUAGGAUCGUAAAAUUCUUUUACCAGGGACGAUAAUGACGGUACCUGGAGAAAAAGCCCCGGCUAACUUCGUGCCAGCCGCCGCAGUAAGAC